rnacentral:rRNA from 1 species
UACGAAGGGUGCAAACGUUGCUCGGAAUUAUUGGGCGUAAAGCGCACGUAGGCGGUCUGUCGCGUCGGCUGUGAAAAACUCGGGGGCUCAACUCCGAGCUUGCAGUCGAUACGGGCAGGCUAGAGUUCGGCAGGGGAGACUGGAAUUCCUGGUGUAGCGGUGAAAUGCGCAGAUAUCAGGAGGAACACCGGUGGCGAAGGCGGGGUCUCUGGGCCGAUACUGACGCUGAGGAGCGAAAGCGUGGGGGAGCGAACAGG